GAGAGUAUUCUGUGAGUUCAGUGUGCACAUUGUACCCAAACAUUAACAGCAGACCACAUCACAGUCUGACUCUGAACACUACAGGGGCACAACAGACCACCUACAGCUGCCAGAGGAGACGGAUGGAGCCAAAAACACUAAGGCUGACACACACACACACACACACUUCACCAGAGAGGAGUUGUGUUGUUGUAGAGGUCAGGCUCAAAUAAACUGCUUUUUUGGACCAUAAAAAUACAUUGAAUGGAACCUAUCUGGCAGAAAAGCAACGCGUCUACUUUACUAGCAUGAUACGCGGACCAUUAAUAUUCUAAUGUAUAAAUUGCCAUUUUACAGGUGCCAAUAAUGUCAACAGGGCUUCAGGUGAUUCGAGUCCACAAAGCUGGAGGGACGUGGGCUGCACUUCGCUUCCUUCAUCUAUUUGCUCAAUAAAACCGGUCGGGAAUCCUGUAAAAUUGGCAGGUUGACUGAGUACGCCACAAAUGAAGUAGGGGAUCCGACGCAUUCCAGGCCCCGGCAGUGAGUUGUGAAUAUGAGUUAAACAAAGAGAACGGGGCAUUUGGGAAAGGAUCAUCUCUACAUACUGUACCAUAGAGCAGGGGUUCCCUAAUUCGGUCCCGAAUCGCGGCAAAGGGCAUAGGCUUGGACACUGGGUGGUUCGGAAGACUGGUGACCAGAGCAGUUUCCCAGGAGUUAAGGAGAUGAUAGACCAUACCACACACACACCUCUGCUGCUCAUAAACAUGGAGAGGACCUGGAGCACAGAGCCAGUGCUGCCUGCUGCACCCUGCACCUCUCUGACCAGAACCAGCAGUGCAGGAGACACAGUGUGUGUGUGUGUGGUAGGGAGAUGCACAAUGAAAAAAAUAUGACAUAAAGUAGCUUUUAUUGUGUAGUAUUCAAAUCACAGUUGAAGGUUUAUUUUUAUAAUGUUAAUGUUUGAAGUUGCACAUCAAGUUAAAUGUAGUGAAGUUGUAUACAUUACACUGAUCUUGAUCUAUAAUUUUUCAGUUUUGAUCAUUAAACUCAGAGAAUAAAGGUAAAAUAAAAUAAAUGUAUGU